CUAGCUCCCCAUCUCCAUCUCCUUCAGUAGCCAGUUGCCCAGUUCUUCUCUCCUCUGCCUAUAUCUCACCCCCCAUCUUCGUCUACCUUCUUGCUUCCACUGAGUCCAUCCAUGGCGAAGUAGCUUCACCGGUCUUUUGCUGGUGGGUUUGUUUGGACUGCAUGUCCAGGUUGAAGUUAGGUUAAGGGGGUUGUUGUCUGGUUCAAGGUCUCCACAUACAUCAUAUACAUGGAGAGCAUGAUAUGGAUUGUACGGUUUGGUGAUCUCGGACCAGGCUUCAAUCCCUUUAACCAGCAUCCGCACAAUCCGCACGCCUCAUGCAUAUGAUAGUUCCAGCGGCGGUGGUUUGCUUCUAAGGACUGGCUCGACACUCAUGUAUGACAAAGGAAUGGGGAAUGGCUGGCCAGGCUCAUUACUUGGCUCACGUGGCUGCUGUGAGAGAGAUGCCAUGCACAGUACUGCUCCUCUUGUUGCAUCUGAACGGCGUGCGAUCGGUUGAUCCCAUUCGCUGCCUGUUCUCUCUGGGAGUUUUGUUCCAUCCGUCUGCAAAUCGCAGAACUAUAUAGUCGUACACUUGCCGGUGGCCUGGUACAUUAACUUUUGUAUGCAGGUUGAAGCGCUUCCCGUGACAGUUAGGAGAGUAGAUUGGUCACCGAAUUGUUUUUA